GACAGAGGGUGCAAACGUUGCUCGGAAUUAUUGGGCGUAAAGGGCGCGUAGGCGGCUUGAUGUGUCAAAGGUGAAAUCCCUCGGCUCAACUGAGGAACUGCCUUUGAAACUGUCUGGCUUGAGGCCGGGAGAGGGUAGCGGAAUUCCCAGUGUAGCGGUGAAAUGCGUAGAUACUGGGAGGAACACCGGUGGCGAAGGCGGCUACCUGGACCGGUUCUGACGCUGAUGCGCGAAAGCGUGGGUAGCAAACAGG
rnacentral:rRNA from 1 species